ensembl:lncRNA
AUGGGGGUUACAGAUGGGGUUCAGAGAUUGGGAUUGGAGAUGGGGAUCAUCGGACAUGGUUCCAUUAUCAUGGAUGUGGAUCACAGAUGGGGUUCAUGUAUAGGUUCAUGGGUGGGUUUCGGGGAUAGGGCUCAUGGAUGGGGCUCAGGGAUGGGGCCACGGAUGGAGCCAUGGAUGGGGCUGGGGGUGAGCACCAUGGAUGGGGCUGGGGGUGAGCACCAUGGAUGGGGCCAUGGAUGGGGAUCAGGUAUGGGACUCUGGGAUGGGGCUCAUGAAUGGGGCCAUGGAUGGGGCUCAAGGAUGGGGCUGUGGAUGGGGCCAAGGAUAGGGCUUAGGGAUGGGGCUCAGGGAUGGGGCUCAGGGAUGGGGCCAUGGAUGGGGCUCAGGGAUGGGGCCCUGAUGAUCCCCCGUCCCCAAUGCACCGACCCCACAGCGGCUGCAGGAGCUGCAGGAGCUGCAGGAGCUGCAGGAGCUGCUCCGUGCUCUGCCCUGUGUGCAUUGCAGCACAGCAGGGACUUGCAGCCACCCCCGUCCCCACACAAAGGUGCUGCAAACCCCCCCCAGCAGAACAAGGAGCAGCGCCGGGAUCCCGCCCCGUGAGCUGCAAAAAAGCAAACGGAGCAAAAGCGAAAAACAGCAAAAAAGGGCCGCAAAUGGGCAACGCUCCAUAGAGUGAAACUGAGCCAGAACCGGGACCGGGACCGGACCCACCCAGGGCAGGGGAAGGGGAGCGGCCGGGAAGGAAACGGGCAUCGGCCAAAGGACAAUGAGGGACCGGCAUGAAAGGGAUGGGAGCGGCUGCGGCCUUCCUGGGGAAGGGGGGGAGCUGCUGCUGCUGCUGCUGCAGGGAGCUGCAUGGUGUGCAUGGAGCUGCAUGGUGUGCAUGGAGCUACAUGGUGUGCAUGGAGCUGCAUGGUGUGCAUGGAGCUGCAUGGUGUGCAUGGUGUGCAUGGAGCUGCAUGGUGUGCAUGGUGUGCACGGAGCUGCAUGGCGUGCAUGGAGCUGCAUGGAGCUGCAUGGUGUGCAUGGUGUGCAUGGAGCUGCAUGGUGUGCAUGGUGUGCAUGGAGCUGCAUGGUGUGCAUGGAUCUGCAUGGUGUGCAUGGAUCUGCAUGGCACUGCAUGGCUGUGCAUGGCUGUGCAUGGAUCUGCAUGGCUCUGCAUGGCUGUGCAUGGCUCUGCAUGGCUCUGCAUGGCUGUGCAUGGAUCUGCAUGGCUCUGCAUGGCUGUGCAUGGCUCUGCAUGGCUGUGCAAGGCCCGGCCACUACUUAACACUCCCCAUGGAGCUGGGGGGGCUCUGAGCACUGUGCAAUGCUAUGGGGCUAUGCUAUGAGGCUGUGCUAUGGGGCUAUGCUGUGCUGUGCUGUGGGGCUAUGCUAUGGGGCUGUGCUGUGCUGUGCUGUGCUAUGGGGGCAAGAAGUGGGCUGCAACAUGGCACCGUGCAGUGCUGAGGGUGUGCGUGCAGCUCUGCAUGAGCAGCACCAGGAGUGUGCCAUGUGAGCUGCACGAGGAGUGUGCAACGUGCACCAAUGAGCUGCACGAGGAGUGUGCAAUGUGCAACAAUGAGCGGCACGAAGAGUGUGCCACAUGCACCCGGUGUGC